rnacentral:tRNA from 2 species
GCCCGGUUAGCUCAGAUGGUAGAGCAUCAGACUUUUAAUCUGAGGGUCAUGGGUUCGAGCCCGAUACCGGGCG